AGGGUUUGAUCCUGGCUCAGGACGAACGCUGGCGGCGGGCUUAACACAUGCAAGUCGAACGAGAAAGGGUCCUUCGGGACCUGAGUACAGUGGCGCACGGGUGAGUAACGCGUAGACAACCUACCCCCAGGUGGGGAAUAACUACGGGAAACCGUAGCUAAUACCGCAUAAUGUCAGAUGGCCGCAUGGCCGCCUGAUCAAAGCUUUAUGCGCCCGGGGAUGGGUCUGCGUUGGAUUAGCUAGUUGGUGAGGUAAUGGCUCACCAAGGCGACGAUCCAUAGCGGGUCUGAGAGGAUGAUCCGCCACACUGGCACUGAGACACGGGCCAGACUCCUACGGGAGGCAGCAGUGAGGAAUAUUGCGCAAUGGAGGCAACUCUGACGCAGCCACGCCGCGUGCAGGAAGACACCCCUCAGGGGCGUAAACUGCUUUUAUACGGGAAGAAUGCCCUGGUCGCCAGGGAGUGACGGUACCGUAUGAAUAAGGACCGGCUAACUCCGUGCCAGCAGCCGCGGUAAUACGGAGGGUCCAAGCGUUGUCCGGAAUCACUGGGUGUAAAGGGUGCGUAGGCGGGCUUGUAAGUCAGGGGUGAAAGCCACCGGCCUAACCGGUGAACUGCCCUUGAUACUGCAAGUCUUGAGUCUCGGAGAGGCUACCGGA
rnacentral:rRNA from 1 species